UACAGAGGGUGCGAGCGUUGUCCGGAAUCACUGGGCGUAAAGGGCGCGUAGGCGGCCCGGGCAGUCGGUGGUGAAAGCUCAGGGCUCAACUCUGAGUCGGCCAUCGAUACUCCCGGGCUGGAGCACUGUAGAGGCAGAUGGAAUUCCGGGUGUAGCGGUGGAAUGCGUAGAGAUCCGGAAGAACACCGGUGGCGAAGGCGGUCUGCUGGGCAGUAGCUGACGCUGAGGCGCGACAGCGUGGGGAGCAAACAGG
rnacentral:rRNA from 1 species